rnacentral:rRNA from 1 species
UGGGGAAUUUUGGACAAUGGGGGAACCCGAUCGAUCCAGCCAUCCCGCCGUGUGCGAUGAAGGCCUUCGGGUUGUAAAGCACUUUUGGCAGGAAAGAAACGUCGCGGGUUAAUACCCGCGAACAUGACGGUACCUGCAGAAUAAGCACCGGCUAACUACGUGCCAGCAGCCGCGGUAAUACGUAGGGUGCAAGCGUUAAUCGGAAUUACUGGGCGUAAAGCGUGCGCAGGCGGUUCGGAAAGAAAAGAUGUGAAAUCCCAGAGCUUAACUUUGGAACUGCAUUUUUAACUACCGGGCUAGAGUGUGUCAGAGGGAGGUGGAAUUCCGCGUGUAGCAGUGAAAUGCGUAGAUAUGCGGAGGAACACCGAUGGCGAAGGCAGCCUCCUGGGAUAACACUGACGCUCAUGCACGAAAAGCGU